UACAGAGGUGGCAAGCGUUGUUCGGAAUUACUGGGCGUAAAGGGCGCGUAGGCGGUCUUGUAAGUCUCGUGUGAAAUCCCUCGGCUUAACUGGGGAACUGCGUCCGAUACUGGAUGGCUUGAGUUUGGGAGAGGGAUGCGGAAUUCCAGGUGUAGCGGUGAAAUGCGUAGAUAUCUGGAGGAACACCGGUGGCGAAGGCGGCAUCCUGGACCAACACUGACACUGAGGAGCGAAAGCCAGGGGAGCAAACGGG
rnacentral:rRNA from 1 species